UGGGGAAUAUUGGACAAUGGGCGGAAGCCUGAUCCAGCCAUGCCGCGUGUGUGAAGAAGGCCUUUUGGUUGUAAAGCACUUUAAGCGAGGAGGAGGCUACUUGGAUUAAUACUCUAGGAUAGUGGACGUUACUCGCAGAAUAAGCACCGGCUAACUCUGUGCCAGCAGCCGCGGUAAUACAGAGGGUGCGAGCGUUAAUCGGAUUUACUGGGCGUAAAGCGUGCGUAGGCGGCUUCUUAAGUCGGAUGUGAAAUCCCUGAGCUUAACUUAGGAAUUGCAUUAGAUACUGGGAAGCUAGAGUAUGGGAGAGGAUGGUAGAAUUCCAGGUGUAGCGGUGAAAUGCGUAGAGAUCUGGAGGAAUACCGAUGGCGAAGGCAGCCAUCUGGCCUAAUACUGACGCUGAGGUACGAAAGCAUGGGGAGCAAACAGG
rnacentral:rRNA from 2 species